GCUAUGGUUUUCGCACUUUCAUUCCUCUUGCUUUCAAACCCCCACCUUUUCCAUGAUUCCCUCCCCUCUCAUCAAAAAUCUCCCAUGACUAUCACCAUCCCUCACCUCCACCUCAAGACUCAUGAGCGUCGCCUCUAUACCAACUACCACACCACCCACAGUGACAACCAGCGUUGAUUCUGAUCCUCUGUCCUCUUUGCCCACCUGCCACCUUCGACACCCUCG
rnacentral:lncRNA from 1 species